UGGGGCGCUGGCCCAGACGGGUGUGACGAUCGAGGUCGUGGUCCUCGACGACGGCUCGACGGACGGCACGGGGGCGAUCGUCGCCGCGCGCGCCGCAACC
rnacentral:tRNA from 1 species